rnacentral:lncRNA from 1 species
AAACAUAAAGAAAAGUUUCCAAAGAAGGCUUUGUCCUUUUAAUAAUUCUGCAAUUGACAUGAAUGAAGUCCUAGAAAGUGUGUUCAUCAAACCUAGGAAUCAAAGUUGGGAAUAAGUGAUUUUAAAAAAACAGAGAGAGUUUGAAAACUAAGUUUAACAAAGUUAAAUGUAAGAUCCUGCACUUCAAACUAAGAAAAAAUAACUGCACUAGUACAAGAUAAGGAAUAUAGCCUAACAGAAGUACAUGAGAAAAAUGCUUCUAAGUUUUAGUAGAUGAGAACUUAAUCGAUGUUAAUGACUUCCAAGAAAAAUAUUAAGAUAUUAGGCUGAAUUAAAGGAAGCAUAGACUCUAGAACAAAGGAGGGGACGCAUCCACUCUACUCUGCUGGUUAUUUCUAGAAACUACAAUUUAAGAGGAAUACGGUCAAAUAAAAAUGUAUUCAGAAGAGAGUAAUCACAAUUAUAAAAGAAUAUGAGAAAUGUUAAAUAGGGAGAAGACGUGUUGUUUGAAGAUUAAAAAGAAAAAAAAUACUGCUGGUAGGGAUGGCAUUGGCAGGGCACUGUGGCUUUAUACUGUUAAUCCUAGUACUUUGGGAGGCCAAGGUAGGAGGAUCCCUUGAAACCAGCCUGAGCAACAUAGCAAGACCUUGUGUCUACAUUUUUUUUUAAGUUUCUUUAA